rnacentral:rRNA from 1 species
GACGAACGCUGGCGGCGUGCUUAACACAUGCAAGUCGAACGACGUGGCGCACGGGUGAGUAACGCGUCAUCAACCUGCCCUUCAGAGGGGUACAACAGUUUGAAACGACUGCUAAUACCGCAUUCUGCAGUAGGGUAUUGCGUCUGAUUAGCUAGUUGGAGGGGUCACGGCCCACCAAGGCGAGGAUCAGUAGCCGGGCUGGGAGGAUGAACGGCCACAUGGGGAAUGGGACACGGCCCAGACUCCUACGGGAGGCAACAGUGGGGAAUCUUCCGGAAUGGACGAAAGUCUGACGGAGCAACGCCGCGGGAGGUAUGACGGCCUUCGGGUUGUAAAGCACUGUUAAUCGGGGCGCGGUACCGGAAUAGAAAGCCACGGCUAACUACGUGCCAGCAGCCGCGGUAAUAC